rnacentral:rRNA from 1 species
UGGAGAGUUUGAUCCUGGCUCAGAUUGAACGCUGGCGGCAGGCCUAACACAUGCAAGUCGAGCGGAAACGAGUUAUCUGAACCUUCGGGGAACGAUAACGGCGUCGAGCGGCGGACGGGUGAGUAAUGCCUAGGAAAUUGCCCUGRUGUGGGGGAUAACCAUUGGAAACGAUGGCUAAUACCGCAUAAUACCUWCGGGUCAAAGAGGGGGACCUUCGGGCCUCUCGCGUCAGGAUAUGCCUAGGUGGGAUUAGCUAGUUGGUGAGGUAAUGGCUCACCAAGGCGACGAUCCCUAGCUGGUCUGAGAGGAUGAUCAGCCACACUGGAACUGAGACACGGUCCAGACUCCUACGGGAGGCAGCAGUGGGGAAUAUUGCACAAUGGGCGCAAGCCUGAUGCAGCCAUGCCGCGUGUGUGAAGAAGGCCUUCGGGUUGUAAAGCACUUUCAGUCGUGAGGAAGGUAGUGUAGUUAAUAGCUGCAUUAUUUGACGUUAGCGACAGAAGAAGCACCGGCUAACUCCGUGCCAGCAGCCGCGGUA